AACAGACUAAGCAAUUGCUUAGGGUCCCAAGCAGCUCAAGGGGGCCCCCGAUGUGCUUUUAUUAUAAGAACUUGCCUGUUUUAGUCCUGGGAGGGGACUCCAAAAUACUCCUGCUUAAGGCUCUUAAUGGGCUGGCCCCAAUGGAGGGUUCUAUAUUUAUAUGUCCUCACUUUGUGCCCUGUGUAGAAAUCCACAGGGUUAACAGAUCCCUAGGGCCCGCUGGUCAGAAGAAUUCUCAUCUGCGUUUCCUGCUGGGGAAGAAACACAAUGGGAAACUGCUUUUUUGGCAGCUUCUAGGAAGGUGAGGGUGGCCCUUGGAGGGACAAGGCCACUAUCCAAGAGCAGUCAAGGAACAGCAUGGGACUACAGCUCAGGGGAAGCUCACAGCUGUCAGGGAAGUGGAACUUCCUGUGUUAGUGUCUGAGGUGAGAAACUGGGCUUCAAGCUGACUCCAGUGCAAGUCAUCUGAAGAGCAGAAGAGGACUUUUCUGAGCUGCCGAGUGAUGUGCUCUUCUCCCACCUUUUGCUGCUUGUUGCAUGCCAGGACAGGGGUGAACAAGCCAAACACAUUGCCUGGCGGGUGUUUAUUGUAGCUGCAGAUACAGAAGAAGAAAAAGCAAUAGCAAAAGCACUAUGAUCAGUGCCCUGAGCUUAUAGCUACCUUUACAUUUUAAACAUGCACUGGAAUAUGAGGUAAAUUGUCUAAAUGAGGCUACAGAGAGCUUCCUUAAUGCACAGAGAUUAUAAAGGCUUUUUUGUCUGCACAA